CCGGCGCAUCUAUUUGCCGCGCGCGCACAGGUAUUGCACCGUCGCCGUUACCGUAUCACCGGCGGCAGUGACGGUGCUGUUCCGUGCGCGCGCUACAGUCGACUGGAACAGUACGCCGAUCAUACGGCAACUAACAACGGUCAUUCGUGUGCCGCCUUCUUCAACCGAACAACGUUAUCUCUUUGCUCGCGUCACCAUUGAGUAUUACGAUGAUAGCAGUAAUCGCCCUUUAAAUUUUUUUCCAUUUAAAUUAUUUAUGUUUUGUGUUUGUUUUUUUAUUAAGUUUUUUCAAUCAAUCAUUUUUUUCUUCAACGUUAAAUAUUUAUUUAUUUUAUUAAUUUAUUUUUGGUUUUUUUACGCGAUCGCGCCAUUUUAAAUAACUUGGGCCAAUACAGGAACUCUAACAUUUUGUGACAAACCAAGUGUCAGAGAAUAUUUCAAAAGAAUUAAAUGGAUUCAAAUGAUAAUGUUACAAUUGUAAUAAAUCAUCUAUACUCAUUUAAAGU